rnacentral:rRNA from 1 species
CAGAGGGUGCAAACGUUGCUCGGAAUCAUUGGGCGUAAAGCGCACGUAGGCGGCCCAGCAAGUGGGGAGUGAAGGCCCUCGGCUUAACCGAGGAAGUGCUUUCCAAACUACUGGGCUUGAGUACUGAAGAGGGUCGCGGAAUUCCCGGUGUAGAGGUGAAAUUCGUAGAUAUCGGGAGGAACACCAGUGGCGAAGGCGGCGACCUGGGCAGAUACUGACGCUGAGGUGCGAAAGCGUGGGGAGCAAGCAGGAUUAGAUACCCUGGUAGUCCACGCCGUAAACGAUGAGUGCUAGAUGUCGCGGGUAUUGACCCCUGCGGCGUCGAAGUUAACGCAUUAAGCACUUCGCCUGGGGAGUACGGCCGCAAGGCUA